rnacentral:lncRNA from 1 species
GGUGUGCAGGGGCCGGCAUGGACCAGUCUGUGGCCAUCCAGGAGACCCUGGCUGAUGGGGACUAUUGCGUCAUCGCGGUGCAAGGUGUGCUGUGCGAGGGCGACAGCAGGCAGAGCCGCCUCCUGGGACUCGUGCGCUGCUGUCCGGAGCGAGGUGGCCAGGAACACGCUCUCUUCCUGUAUACGCACCGGAGGAUGGCCAUUACCGGGGACGAUGUCUCCUUGGACCAGAUCGUGCCAGUCUCUCGGGAUUUCACACUGGAAGAAGUGUCCCCGGAUGGUGAGCUCUACAUUCUUGGCUUCGUCCCAGCGAUCCCAGAUCCUGAGUUCCUGUGGCUGUCUCGAUACAGGUGCACUGAGCCGAAGCCCGAGCCGCCCACGCCGCGAAGCUGGAAUUCGGCCCCAGGCACCUGGCCGGGGCGUGCCAGAAUUGGCGGAGGCAGGUAUCGGUCUUGGAAGGCGCGAAAGGGAUUGGAGGAGACCUCGCCUCGGGACGGGCCCCGUUCUGUUUGGGGGCGGGGCUACAAAGCAGACAGGCCUUCGAUUGGCGGGGGUGGCACGCGGGGGCGGGCUCCUUUGGGGGGCGGAGCUGGGGGCGGAGCGGCUCGGGCAGCGAGAUGAAGAGCUUGAGGAAGCUGGCAGGGAAAUGUCCGCCGCCGACGGCUCUCGGGAGCGCGACUCUGCAGGUGGUUCUUCCUCUGACGAGCUGAGACCAAAUGGGAAGGGCCUGCCUGUGGACCAAAGCUCCUGGGGUCAGAAUAAACCAGAAAACUCGCUCUCAAGACAGAACAAGUCCAAAUCUGAAAUAAGCAACAUGGUUCGCUCCUCUACUAUCACAGUAUCAGACAAGGCUCACAUUUUAUCCAUGCAGAAGUUUGGACUGCGAGAUACAAUUGUGAAAUCACAUCUAAUACAGAAAGAAGAGGAUUAUACCUACAUCCAGAACUUCAGAUUUUUUGUAGGAACGUACAAUGUGAACGGACAGUCCCCCAAGGAGUGCCUCCGGCCCUGGCUCAGCCACGAUACCCAGGCCCCAGAUGUGUACUGUGUGGGGUUCCAGGAGCUUGAUCUGAGUAAGGAAGCCUUUUUCUUCCACGAUACCCCAAAGGAGGAAGAGUGGUUUAAAGCUGUAUCAGAGGGUCUUCAUCCAGACGCCAAAUAUGCAAAGGUGAAGCUCAUCCGACUGGUUGGGAUUAUGCUGCUGCUAUAUGUCAAACAGGAGCAUGCCGCGUACAUCUCAGAAGUGGAAGCUGAGACAGUAGGGACAGGAAUCAUGGGGAGAAUGGGUAACAAAGGGGGCGUGGCCAUCCGGUUCCGGUUUCACAACACCAGCAUCUGCGUGGUCAAUUCCCACCUGGCAGCCCACACGGAGGAGUACGAGAGGAGGAACCAGGACUACAAAGACAUUUGUUCUCGAAUGCAGUUCUGUCAGGUCGACCCAAGCCUGCCCCCUCUCACCAUCAGCAAGCACGAUGUGAUCUUGUGGCUGGGGGACCUCAACUACAGGAUAGAAGAUCCAGAUGUGGAAAAAGUGAAAAAACUCAUCGAAGAGAAGGCCUUUCAAACGCUGUAUGCAUAUGACCAGCUGAGAGCUCAGGUGGCUGCAAAGGCUGUCUUCGAGGGCUUCAGUGAGGGUGAGCUCACGUUCCAGCCUACCUAUAAGUAUGAUACUGGCUCCGAUGACUGGGAUACCAGCGAGAAGUGUCGUGCUCCUGCCUGGUGUGACCGGGUCCUCUGGAAAGGGAAGAACAUCACUCAGCUGAGCUACCAGAGCCACAUGGCCCUGAAGACCAGUGACCACAAGCCUGUCAGCUCAGUGUUUGACAUUGGGGUGAGGGUCAUCAAUGAAGAGCUGUAUCGGAAAACUCUGGAGGAGAUUGUUCGCUCCCUGGAUAAGAUGGAAAACGCCAAUAUCCCUUCCGUGUCCCUCUCCAAGCGAGAGUUCUGCUUUCAGAAUGUGAAGUACAUGCAUCUGCAGGUAGAGUCCUUCACCAUUCGGAAUGGGCAGGUGCCGUGUCAGUUUGAGUUCAUCAGCAAGCCUAACGAAGAGUCCUACUGUAAGCAGUGGCUUCGCGCCAGCCCCAGCAGAGGGUUCCUCCUGCCAGAUUCUUCCGUUGAGAUUGAAUUAGAGCUAUUUGUAAAUAAGACCACAGCUACAAAGCUCAACUCGGGUGAAGACAAAAUCGAGGACAUUCUGGUUUUGCACUUGGACAGAGGAAAGGAUUACUUCUUGUCUGUGUCUGGGAACUACAUGCCAAGCUGCUUCGGAUCGCCCAUUCACACGUUGUGCUACAUGAAGGAGCCAAUUUUGGACUUGCCACUAGAAACCAUUAGAGAGCUGACUCUGAUGCGACUCCAGACUGAAGAUAAUGGGAGCCAAUUGGAGAAACCCAUGGACAUCCCCAAGGAGCUCUGGAUAUUGGUUGAUUACCUGUACCGAAAUGCCAUCCAGCAGGAAGAUCUGUUUCAGCAGCCAGGCCUGAGGUCAGAAUUUGAUCAUAUCAGGGACUGUUUAGAUACUGGGACGAUUGAUAACCUCUCUGCCAGCAAUCAUUCUGUGGCCGAAGCCCUGCUGCUCUUCUUGGAGAGCCUGCCAGAGCCUGUCAUCUGUUUCAGCGCCUACCGCAACUGCUUGGAGUGUUCCGGCAACCUCACAGCAAGUAAACAGGUCAUUACUACCCUUCCUGCGUGCCACAGAAAUGUCUUCACCUAUUUGAUGGCGUUUUUGCAAGAAUUGCUGAAAAAUUCAGCAAAAAACCAUUUGGAUGAUAAUAUUCUAGCCAGCAUAUUUGGUAGCCUGCUGCUUCGAAACCCAGCUGGUCACCAAAAGCUUGAAAUGGCAGAAAAGAAGAAGGCUCAAGAAUUUGUUCACCAGUUCCUCACUCACCCCGAGCCUCUUUCUCUCCUCUCCUAUUCUGCCUGAGACAGCCAGUUACCCGCCCCACCUGUUUCAGCUCCAGAGCUGCCCUAAGAGGAUAUGAGCCCACAGGGAAGCCUGAGUGGCAGCUGCCUGUUUCUUGAGCCCAGACUGCCCUCUCCACCAUGACCAUCACACUCAGUGCUGCUGCGAAGAGUGAAGACAUUGUGAAGACAUUGAGGGGAAGUCCACCACAGUAAAACUGACAUGCAGCGUUCAACUUUAGUUUUUUAACAGAUUUUUUUUUUUUAAACGUUUAAACAGCCAUACUCCUUGUGCUCAACCUGCUUCCAAGACAUACAGUGCCUUCCCUGUAGCUUGAGCCGAGCUCCCCACAAUCAGAUAUUUGAACAGACUUUGGAGUCCUGAAGGAUGAAUGAGGAUGCAAAUACAAAGAAUGUAAAUGGAAGCUGCUGGAUAAACAGGCCACACAGCUUCUCCAGGUGCUUUCAGCGCUCU